CCUAAAGAUGGAGAGACCCAGGCUGCACCACUAGAGGGAACUGGGGAGGUGACCGAAGCUGUGCUGCUCCCUGGAUAAGUGCCAUCUGUGGGCGAAGAAUGUGCUGCUGUACAUGGCAACCCACAAAGACGAGAAUCAACAGCCAAGAGCCAAGACGUGUGCUGUGGCUCAGGAGGAGCUGCCUUGGCCGUGGUGUCUCUUCACAGCAACAGAACAGUGACGAAGACAAUGACAGAGCAGCUUGCUGAGCAAACCUGGUGACUUAAGCUCAAUCCCAGGAACCCACGCGCAAAUGGGAGACGAGAACCAACGCCAUAAACGUGACCUCUGACCUUCAAGAGCAGUGGCACAUGGGUGCACACACAUUAAUUAAUUAAAUGAAGGUUUGAAACACAA